rnacentral:ncRNA from 1 species
AUAAAAGGCAAAACCGUUGAAAGGCGGCGACGCAAAGCAAGGUGUCUAACCAUUUAUUGUAUGACCGACCGGCUGC